AAUCGGAGAUCCGAAGGACUUGCACGCUCUUUGUAAGACGUUUGCUUUUCCCUUGAUCAGGCGUCUGUUCUGUUUCGACACGGCUAUUAUAUUACCGCAAUGCGAUCGUAACUUUUCAUCCCCCUUCUGUGGCAAGCGGUAAUUUACGGGUUCAUUUUAUCGUAGCGUAACGAUUGCGCGUAACACGGGUGAACUUCGCGACUUGAGAUUCAAGAGAUACGGAUUAAACGUGCGAAUGGAAAUUAGUCGAAGAACUAAGAAUCGUUUUCUCCAAGACACCGAUGCUCCAACCCCCAGGGACACUUUAAUUUCGAUGGAGAUAGAAAAAGGUUAAAAGCAAUUGAGAAAGUCCGAACAACCGUUAGCCACGAGUUGGAAACACUGCUGUGAUACACUGAGAUUACCAA